rnacentral:rRNA from 1 species
GAUGAACGCUGGCGGCGUGCCUAAUACAUGCAAGUCGAGCGAACAGACGAGGAGCUUGCUCCGCUGACGUUAGCGGCGGACGGGUGAGUAACACGUGGAUAACCUACCUAUAAGACUGGGAUAACUUCGGGAAACCGGAGCUAAUACCGGAUAAUAUAUUGAACCGCAUGGUUCAAUGGUGAAAGACGGUUUUGCUGUCACUUAUCGAUGGAUCCGCGCCGUAUUAGCUAGUUGGUAAGGUAACGGGUUACCAAGGCGACGAUGCGUAGCCGACCUGAGAGGGGGAUCGGCCACACUGGAGCUGAGACACGGUCCAGGCUCCUACGAGAGGCAGCAGUAGGGAAUCUUCCGCAAUGGGCGAAAGCUUGACGGAGCAACGCCGCGUGAGUGAUGAAGGUCUUCGGAUCGUAAAACUCUGUUAUUAGGGAAGAACAAAUGUGUAAGUAACUAUGCACGUCUUGACGGUACCUAAUCAGAAAGCCACGGCUAACUACGUG